UUGAACAAUAAAAUAUUAUAAAUAUAAAAAGCGUUUUCAGUCCAAAACGGCGACAGCGGCUGUUGUCAAAUAAACACCGGAGUUUUGUCUCUUUGCUUCUAUACUCUUUGCUUUAGCUUUCACAGCUUAUUCAGGAAGUCUAAAGUGUCCCAUUUCUGCCUUUUGGAGAGAUUUUCUUGAUGUUCAAGAGUGUUGAUCAUUUAUGUUUGGUAAGCGAUGAUUGACAAUUUAGAUUGUCAUGUAAUUUGUUGCACACAUUCAUGCCCCCAUGGGAAGAAUUGUAAUAACCUUUUGUAAUCUCCUCUUCUCAUCUAGUGCCAUAAUCUGGUCUCAUUUUUGAUUUGUCAAAUAUCACCACAUACUUGCAAAACAGAUAUUCCCACCAGCUUCGGCUGUACUUUAUGUUUAUUGAUAAUUAGAAAAUGUUAGCAUGCUAAAACUAAGAUAGUGAACAUGGUAAACAUUAUACCUGCUAAACAUCAGCAUGUUAACAUUGUCAUUGUGUAAGUAAGCAUGCUGAUGUUAGUAUUUAUCUCGAAGCACCUCAGUGCCUAAAUACAGGCUCACAGAGCUGCUGGCUUGGUUGGAGUCUUGUUACAAUAACUUCUCCCUCUGUGUGUGUGUGUGUGUGUGUGUGUGUGUGUGUGUGUGUGUGUGUGUGUGUGUAUAAUGUACAUGCAGCUGAGGUCAUACUUUCUCCUCCUUCUCGUCACUUCACACCCGUCUGAGAAAAGCUUUUCCUCUGGAGAAGUUACUUCUGACUUUUUCAGUUUCUUUAUUUGGCUUCUUCCCUGUUUUUCUCCCCUCCAACCAUCCUUCCUCUUUCUUUCCUCAACACAGCAUCUUUCUAUUUAUGCUGCAUUUUCAGCAUCAUUUCUCUUUUUAGUUCUUCUCGGAAGCCUGACAGCUCUGCUACUUAGAGGAAUUGAAAAUGAGGCUACACCUCGCCAAGAAUUGGCGGUGAGCACUGUCAGCUUUGGGAUCAAGAUAAUGAAAUGCAAAAUGACAGGAAAUGAGGGAAAGAAGAGGGAUGACCGGGAUUACGUGAAGCCUGGUUGCGUCCCCGAUAUCCUACCUUCUGCUGCCAUCUAGUGAACGGAAAGAUGUCAGUAAAGCUUGUACAUUUACCUUCAUACUCCUAAACUCUGAUGUAAAAUAAUGUGCUGUUCUAAGAGCAGAAAUUAUUUAAUUUAAAUAUAGUCAUUUAAAUGCUGUUGAAACAACAGUUAUACUGUAUGUAACC